rnacentral:rRNA from 1 species
GACGAACGCUGGCGGCGUGCCUAAUACAUGCAAGUCGAACGAACUCUGGUAUUGAUUGGUGCUUGCAUCAUGAUUUACAUUUGAGUGAGUGGCGAACUGGUGAGUAACACGUGGGAAACCUGCCCAGAAGCGGGGGAUAACACCUGGAAACAGAUGCUAAUACCGCAUAACAACUUGGACCGCAUGGUCCGAGUUUAAAAGAUGGCUUCGGCUAUCACUUUUGGAUGGUCCCGCGGCGUAUUAGCUAGAUGGUGAGGUAACGGCUCACCAUGGCAAUGAUACGUAGCCGACCUGAGAGGGUAAUCGGCCACAUUGGGACUGAGACACGGCCCAAACUCCUACGGGAGGCAGCAGUAGGGAAUCUUCCACAAUGGACGAAAGUCUGAUGGAGCAACGCCGCGUGAGUGAAGAAGGGUUUCGGCUCGUAAAACUCUGUUGUUAAAGAAGAACAUAUCUGAGAGUAACUGUUCAGGUAUUGACGGUAUUUAACCAGAAAGCCACGGCUAACUACGUGCCAGCAGCCGCGGUAAUACGUAGGUGGCAAGCGUUGUCCGGAUUUAUUGGGCGUAAAGCGAGCGCAGGCGGUUUUUUAAGUCUGAUGUGAAAGCCUUCGGCUCAACCGAAGAAGUGCAUCGGAAACUGGGAAACUUGAGUGCAGAAGAGGACAGUGGAACUCCAUGUGUAGCGGUGAAAUGCGUAGAUAUAUGGAAGAACACCAGUGGCGAAGGCGGCUGUCUGGUCUGUAACUGACGCUGAGGCUCGAAAGUAUGGGUAGCAAACAGGAUUAGAUACCCUGGUAGUCCAUACCGUAAACGAUGAAUGCUAAGUGUUGGAGGGUUUCCGCCCUUCAGUGCUGCAGCUAACGCAUUAAGCAUUCCGCCUGGGGAGUACGGGCCGCAAGGCUGAAACUUCAAGGAAUUGACGGGGGCCCGCACAAGCGGUGGAGCAUGUGGUUUAAUUCGAAGCUACGCGAAGAACCUUACCAGGUCUUGACAUACUAUGCAAAUCUAAGAGAUUAGACGUUCCCUUCGGGGACAUGGAUACAGGUGGUGCAUGGUUGUCGUCAGCUCGUGUCGUGAGAUGUUGGGUUAAGUCCCGCAACGAGCGCAACCCUUAUUAUCAGUUGCCAGCAUUAAGUUGGGCACUCUGGUGAGACUGCCGGUGACAAACCGGAGGAAGGUGGGGAUGACGUCAAAUCAUCAUGCCCCUUAUGACCUGGGCUACACACAUGCUACAAUGGAUGGUACAACGAGUUGCGAACUCGCGAGAGUAAGCUAAUCUCUUAAAGCCAUUCUCAGUUCGGAUUGUAGGCUGCAACUCGCCUACAUGAAGUCGGAAUCGCUAGUAAUCGCGGAUCAGCAUGCCGCGGUGAAUACGUUCCCGGGCCUUGUACACACCGCCCGUCACACCAUGAGAGUUUGUAACACCCAAAGUCGGUGGGGUAACCUUUUAGGAACCAGCCGCCUAAGGUGGGACAGAUGAUUAGGGUG